rnacentral:rRNA from 1 species
UGGGGAAUAUUGGACAAUGGGGGCAACCCUGAUCCAGCGAUGCCGCGUGUGUGAAGAAGGCCUGAGGGUUGUAAAGCACUUUAGUUGUUGAGGAAGGUUGUGAGGUGAAUACCCUCAUAACUUGACGGUAAACAAAGAAUAAGCACCGGCUAACUCUGUGCCAGCAGCCGCGGUAAUACAGAGGGUGCGAGCGUUAAUCGGAUUUACUGGGCGUAAAGCGUGCGUAGGCGGCUUUUUAAGUCGGAUGUGAAAUCCCUGAGCUUAACUUAGGAAUUGCAUUCGAUACUGGGAAGCUAGAGUAUGGGAGAGGAUGGUAGAAUUCCAGGUGUAGCGGUGAAAUGCGUAGAGAUCUGGAGGAAUACCGAUGGCGAAGGCAGCCAUCUGGCCUAAUACUGACGCUGAGGUACGAAAGCAUGGGGAGCAAACAGGAUUAGAUACCCGAGUAGUCCCUGAGCGGGCUGGCAAGGCGCAU